ACUGAUGACAUUCUUCCGAGCUUGGAAGAUCAGGGAGUGCAUCAACUGUAUCCAAAAGGCCCAAACAUUGGUAUGCCUCCCUCCGUUCUAGUUUUAAUUAUUUGUAUUGUCAUGUGAAAUUACUGCUUUUGAAAUUUAGGAAUUAAUGUGAACUUUUUCUUGCUUCAAGCACUGUUGCAAUCAUCAUCUAUUGCAGUUUCUUCUUAGCAUUGGUUGAAUUAUCUUAUUAUUAUUUAUCAUUUUUAUAAACUAGUUAACUAUAAUUUUCUUUGGAAAGAUGUUAGCAAAAGAGAGAUUUUCUUUGCUAAGUUAGAACACGGUUACUAGACUGAGAAAUGUUCUCUUCGUUACAGUUAUCUACAACUUUCUUGGUUACAGUUACUCCACAUUUCUGAUUGAUUGCCAUAGUUUUCUAGGCUAUGGCAUAUAUCCAAUCCAUACUAGAAAAUGUUGUCAUGCAUGAUAGAUCCGACAUUACGACUAAAAUAUGAUCCCUUAAUGAGCCUUCUUUAGUGCAAUACAAAUGUCCUCUCUAGAAAGGUGAAGAGUGUUAGGGGGUAUGUAUCAUCUGGUUUGCAGAGCAUGAUUUUAUUGAUAAUAACUAACAAGAAACAAAUAAGAACUACAUGUGCACAUGCGUGUAUGUCUGUUUAUUCUAGUGUCUUCUUUACAUAUAUAUAUAUAUAUUGUGCAUAUGCAUGUGUUUGUUUUUCGCCUCUAAAAUGUUUUAUGCUUCUUUGACAAAAAUUGUGAUCCUUCUUAGAUUUUAAGAAGGAACUGAGGUCACUUAACAGAGAAUUGCAGCUGCACAUUUUGGAGCUGGCUGAUAUUCUUGUAGAGAGACCAUCACAGUACGCGAGGAGAGUGGAAGAUAUAUCUCUUAUCUUCAAGAACUUGCAUCAUCUUCUCAACUCAUUGCGUCCCCAUCAAGUAAGAUAGUUUUGGGUCUUAGAAUGCGCUGUAUUGGUUUGUGUUUGAGGUUCUUUAUUUUGUAAAUUAUUUUAUCAUACAGGCUAGGGCAACGCUAAUUCACAUUCUAGAACUUCAGAUACAACGUCGUAAACAAGCUGUGGAGGAUAUAAAGAGGUAUGCUUUCAACAAUUACUGAAAAGAUUUGUGGUCUGAGGCUGAAAUGUUUUGCUUUUUUUUCCAAAACAGUUGAAGGAAAAUUUCUCUGUCCUUUGAUCAUUUAAAUGAAUAGCUUAUAUAGCAUUUUAUUUAGAGUAAAAUUACUUGAAUCUACUAGGCUAUUCUUUUGGUGCAUUGUAGAAGUUGUUAUAGAAAAACUCCCCUAUUCUUGUAUGUGAGGCAUCGAAAUGUUGAUAUUUAAUUUCUUGCAACUUUGAAUUAUGAGGUUAAAAGUAAAAAGCGGUGUGUGCGUGGUCAGUGUAAGAGUUUGAAGAUGGAUAUAAAUUCCUUAAAUCGACUGGUACUUUGACUGUGUAAUCAAACUGCCAUGCGGAUUGGAUGUUACAUAAUUGCUUGUGACUAUUGGCUUCACUUUCUGGUUUAGGAGGAGAGAAGAAGCACAGAGACUUCUCAAGGAGUCUAUUGGAACGUUGGAGGACACCGGCGCAUCUUUUGUGCUAAAGUAAGAGAGUGUGCUCAUGUUCGUUCUGCCGCAGAUUGAAGCCUCUUGGACAGUUGCAUCUUAAUACAUUCAUCAUGCUUCAUGUAUUAGUAAAAUUAUAGGUUCAAUUGUCUUUGUAAUCAGAGUAAAAGCAAUUUGAUAGCGUGCAUGAUAGUGUUCUCUCAUGCUCUGCUGCACUGAAAUUCUAAGGCAUUGAUUGGUAUCCUACUCAAAAAAAAAAACUCAAAAACUAUAAUUCUUUUUAAAAAGAUGAGUUUUCAAAUAGUGAUUUUAAGAUCUAAAAACUUGUUUGGUAUUGAACUCCAAACUGUUUUUAAAAUCUAAAAAAUUAAAAUUAAAAUUAG
rnacentral:lncRNA from 1 species